rnacentral:lncRNA from 1 species
AAAGUAUUUAGCCCGAGCUGCUUCAGUAUAUAAGGGAGACUUCAAGACCUAAUUGAUCAUUCAAGCCGCCAUUCUAAUAAGUUUAGAUUUUUAGGGUUUUGAGUCUACAUGUGCUCUACUCUUGUAUCGUUUGUGAUGCAAGUUUAGAACCUAUAUUGUGAGCCUUUCUUGUAUCGUCUGUGAUACAUGUUUAGGACUGUGUGUUGAGUUUGAUACUCUUGUGUACUACACCGAAGUUGUUAAACAAGGUGUUAGUUGUUUGUUUGAAGGUAACUUCAACUUUUGAGUUUGUGUUUAGGUCUGAUAGGUCACAGGGGUUGUGACUGACCAUAGGAUAGUGAGAUGGGAUCUCAGAUCUAGGAGUUCCUAGGUUGAAGUCUAUAUGGGUAGGUCCUAGGUCUUUAGUGUAAAUGAGGAG